GGGCUAUGGCUGGGCGAGGCUGGGUUGGCCCGCUCCGUGUGCGGCCCCCUGCGGUCUCGCUGGAGGACCGGGGGGCAGCGGCCUCUCGUCAGGGACGUUUCUCUCUGGUGUUCGUGUCCUUUCCCGUGCCUUGGCUUCGCAGCCGCGCCUCUGGAGGCCCGCGAUGUCGAGGGGCCCGUGUGUCAGUAACCGUCCCAGUGUGGGAAUCCGCUGGGCCGGGCCUGUCCGCGCAGCACCUUCACCGACAAUAGUCAGAGGACAGCGAGAAUGCCCUAAGGACACCUUGAAAUUCUGGAUACUUGUGUUGAACUAUGUGGUGUUGAACUAUGGUCACAGCAUCAACUAGGUUUAUUUUCGAGGGAGAAAUGGAAAGUGAGAAACAUUAGGUUGAAGCCUUCCCCCGCAACAGUGAUCAUUUCCCGAAGAUGUAUGAAGAACCAAGUUAAAGGCUUCUGUGUAAUUAAAAAUCUUUCAAACUUGCAUAAUCUUUUGACCACUGCAUUGAAAAAGGACAUAUAUGAAUCAAUGACUUAGGCGCAUGAGUCUCUUCACAGCUCUCAGAACCACCCAAGCCACAGUAAACACAAAGCCCGAUCACUGCUGUGAGCAGAAGCUCACAUCUUGACUUCUGUGGGGGAUAGGCAUGUACAUCAAAGAGCACAAUCAAAUCUAAGAACUCAGAAAGACAAACAGCUGUUAGUGCUGCUUAUUUAUUAUGGUGGAACCCUGUAUGGGUUUGAUUUUGCCUUCUUCACUAGGCUACUGCUGUACACGCAUUAUUUUUCUGGAAAAGGAGUCUGAUGUUUUCUGUUUCUCGUAUUUCAAAUCCAGUGUUGCACAACCGAGCAGCCAGACUUUCUUGCUGUAAUUCAUGCUGUAGAGCAUCCUACCCACUAAAAUGAAUGGGAACUCUAAUGAAACUAAGAUGUAAGGAUGGCAAAAUCUGCCUUGGAGUAAAAAUGGAAAUGCCAACUGUGCUAUUAAAAAAAAAAAAAAAGGGCCAUGAUAAAAAUGAGAGAACAACUGUGAGUCCUACCAUUAUGGGAUGUAUGAAUCUUAAACCUUACAGCAUUAAAAUAUGGGCAGAUUUAAUUGUUCCAUAUACAGAAUGUCUUUUACAGAAGAUAUUAUUAGAUGUGUAGAAAACAAAUAGCUCGCGGUAUAUAUUCUCCCUUUCAUCUUUGUCCAGAACUCCCACUGUUUUCUGUGCGGGGAAAAACAAUACAAUAUGGUUCAAUGUCUGUAAAUGAUAAAGCAAAAAGCAUUCUGUUAAUUUAUUUCAAACAUGUUUGAGGCUAUUCAAA